rnacentral:lncRNA from 1 species
GUUCUAAAAUCUAUCAUAGUGCCAACAGUGUUCUGGAAGCUCCUCCCUUUAGUGGCAAAGCCAGAGAAACCUAUCUUGAAAGAGUCCAACAAAGAGCUGAUGCCCAAGGUCAAAUAGACCUAUAAGCAGAGCAAACUUGCCCUUGGGUGAGACUGGAGCCUGAAGACCGGAUCCUAUAGUUCAAGGGAUGUAUGCUCAGUUUGAGCUUCACUCUGAUUUUCAUUUUCCAAGAGAGCACCUAGGAGGGCUCCACACGGUUUUGCCAUCCAUCUGGGCACAGUGAAGGGCUCUACAGGCUCUGAUGCCAGGGCUCCAGGGUGACUGUAGCCAGGUUAGACACAAUGCAGGGUUUCACGGGAUCUUAGGACUACACAUAGAAACAGAAAGAGAACAGUGGAGGUUGGAUCUCUAGAGGCGUGUCUCCUCAAGUGACAGCCUUUCACAGUCAUGCUGCCACAGGAACAGUGUACCUUGUUCUCCUAUGACAUACAAUGGAGAUGAUAGACAUACCUGAAAUCUCCCAUGUAAAGUGCUACAAAGGCCCCUGAGCUGGAGAAGUUCCUAGGUAAAGGCUGGACUCCACCCAUAAAAGAAACACAGACUGAACAAAAGAAGAAGCCGGAUUUCUUGACCCAGCGGCCUGGAGACCAGAUGAAAAGAUCCCAUAGCCCACCUAAUCCUCACCACGAUGCCCAUCCACCUCGAAUUGGUAAGGCCCAUUCGGGCACCCCAGCCCAGCUUGUGAAGGUCCCUGGUGCUCAGCCUUAAAG